CCUAUAUUCCCGUUUAUCCGUCUUCCGAAACUCCGCAGAUGCGUUGACGGGAUAUCGAGGACGAAAUAAAAUUCGUUACUAACGUUACACCGUCAACCUUUGCACGGUCUGAUAUAAAAUGUUCCCCAACUAUCUUUCGGCUCUUUCCUUCCUUCUCGCUUUCUUUCUCGACGGAGCAGCAAAACUAUCUUACACGACCGAGCUGCCAAUUUCCUCGGAUCUGAAUACGCCGAGCAACAACUUGUUAGUUUUAUUGUUGGUUCAACGUUUAACGGACUCCCACGAUUAUAUAUUUAUCAACCUCCCCUCCCCGUGGUGUGGUUGAAAAUCCGAAUUUUAUCUCAAUUAAAUGUGCCAUUCGGAAAAUGUCACACGCCGGCCAACGGCCUAUUCAAAAUCCUUGACGAGUCGGGGCUCGUACAUCGACAACUGAUCGGUAGCUGAUCUUCGCCUCUCAUUUGACUUGGCGUAAAAAUCCCUAUCCGAUGUGUAUACGAUCUGAAUACAACUGUAGAUAUAUGUAUGUAACAUAUAUAUAUAUAUAUAUAUAUUUCCACAUCGCAUGGAUGCUUUCGCGAGGUAUUCCGAACGGCAUUGCGCAUAUGUAUGCUGCUGGUGCUGCUGGGAGCUGCUGCUGCACCGAUCACUAGGUCAGUAGGACUAGGUCGACGCACGCCCGACACAGUCCUCGUUACGAAGCUGUCAACUCUUUUGUGCACGUGCUUGAAUAUUGGAAUACUGCAGCCCUUCAUCGAAGGGUAGGUCACCCGUAAAAAGCGACGUUGAACCGUUACGAAGGUUUGCGUGACGCGCCGAAAAAAUUUCGUCCCCGCUACCCGCGACGCGCUCAGCGUUCCGUGUAUCUUUACGGAUUGAAGAAAUUAAAAGUUCGAAGCGUGGAGAUCGGAUAUCCGUUAACGCUGACGGGCAGCCGCCGGGCGAAUAAAACCACCGGCCUACUGAAAAAAGAAUGAAAAAUUUUCUAUGCAAUUACGAACAUAGAUUAGCUAGAUAAAAGCUAUAACGUUAUGCCGCGAGAGAUAAGCUAUACGGUGGAAAUUUCAUUCCCCGGCUGAUUCGAAUUUGCAUCUUAAUCCGAAAUCCGUGUAACUAAAAUCCAGAAAAUUGUGUAUUCGUAAAAAGAUGGCCAUUGGUAGACGGGUAAACGGACCGCGAGUACACUAUGUAAUUUCCAUGUAAGCAUAUGUUUGUGUAUCCGUGUACAUUUACAUGCAUCUAUGUAUGUAUACGUACAUAUAUACUUAUUUUACCUCGCGUUUUUAGAAAUUUCUCUUUCGAGACGAGUUUUAGCUGUGGUUAGAUACGUAUAAGACGUACGCGCAUACAUACACAGGUGCCUAUACGUACUUGCACAUCCGCGGGCACGUUCGUACGCGAGGGCAUACGAUCCGUGCACGUGUGCGUUCGUUCGCGUGUAGGUAUAUAGGGGAGCGGAAUGCCGCGGGCGAAGCAGGAAUAUAUUUCAAUCCAUACGCCUCGUCCUCCGCGUCGUCUCGCCCACUCCACUCUUCACCCAAUUCCCUCUGACUUCUUUUUCUGCGUCUUAGAUUGUCCCGGUUUUCCUCGAGUUUUUCUUGAUUGGAUUUUCAUCGUGAGCACUUGCAUAAAACAUCCCUCUUCCAUCUCCUCUUUUUCGCCCCUCAAACUCCGCGCUUAGCUCAUUGCUCCGCACGCGUUGAUUUUAUCGGCAAACUGUUCGAAAAGAGUUUAAAUAUCACGUCGAUCGUAGGAUUCGAUAUCGCGUCCAUGCUCACCUAUCCGAAGAGAGUUAAAACUAUCAGAAAUAGUUGACGUGACGACGCCAUUAUAGCUGUGCCGAUCGUCGAGUUACGUACGUCAAAACCGGAUCGCUUGUGUCUCCGCGAUAUUUGAUCGUAAAAAUCAACCGCUUAUCCAUCACAUCGAUGGGUUUCGGGUAAUCAAUUAUUUUUACAACCGGUGUAUGUAUAAUAUUUGUUUUUUUUUGGGAAAAAUAAAACGAACCCCCAAUCGUAACGGAUACUCUCGCUUAUUACAAUUUCUAUAGCCGAGAGUAUUGUCAUUGAUGCAUGGGCCGGACCUUUCAUAUUCGCCCCUCUGAAGUUAUCGCGAUUCGUGUACCGGAAUUAGGUAUUAAAGUCGAAUGAUUUGAUGGGAUACGAAAGGAAACAGAUAUGUGUGUUUAUUCGAUAAAGUAUCGCGCGAAAUUUACCAAUUUUCGGGUAAUUCUCUCCCUGUUGCCCGAUACCUGGCGUUAUCCCGAUAACUCUCUUCAUCAAUUUAAUGUGGAUACUAUAUAGCAAGUAAUCUCCUGUGUCACGAAUCAUCAAAUCAUCGAUAUUCUAAAACCUUUUGCCUACCAAUUGUUGACAACGGUCGUGUCAUCAUUUGACAAUAUGUUCGCGCGAAAAAUUUAAUUCUUUUCUCUCAUUCUGGUUGAAUACAAGACUCACCAAGCGAAUUCAAAAUUCGUAAGGAUUAUGGUGAUUUUUUCAUUUUUCUGGUUGAAAAAAAAAGGAAAUUUCAGCUUGAUUGUUGGCAUCAAUUUGUGGAUGCAAAAUGUAUAUAUUUGUUUUUCGACGGUCGUCCGAUUCCUACAUUUCCAUUACCUCAUUUGAAAAGGUAAAAAUAAUACAAUAUUAACGGAAUAAAUUAACUUCCGACAAGUUAUCGAGAAAGAUUUGCUGGCAUUGAAAAUUUCAUGAACCCUAACGCUCGUAAAAUGGAGUCCAAAGUACCGGGCAAUCAACAUUCAAUGCAAGAAGCUAAUGGAAUAGAAGAUUAUCACUGGAGAGCUAGUAGCCGCUGAUUGUAAGAAAUAGCGUCACAUUUAGAGAAGAUUUCCUGGAUCAGCUUCAGCAGAUUGUAAGCCUAUUUUUCUAAGGAGGCCUUCUACGUAAAAAUCAAGUGGAGCAUCUUCGAUCAUUACGCCGAUAGUACUGAACGAUAAAAAAAAUUAGUUUCUAACUCGACUCGAUAUUAUAAAAUAUGUGUAUAGAUUAGUAUCUUUUUUCAAGAUUUUCUUUCGCGUGUCAAGGGCAACGAUUCCGAUAGAAAAGGCGUAUCACUUUUCGGAAGAAGCGGAAAUAAUUUUCAAAAUUAAUACCUCGAAGAUUCCACAAGUAAGUUGAGUAAAAGUCUUAUUGCAAUUUCGAGCGAUAUUUGCUUUGGAAAAAAACAAAAAAAAAAAAAAAACAUCUCUUCGAAUUAUUCAACGUUGAAUGUUCUGCCGUUUAUUAUUUUUAAUUCAUAUAGUCUGCGCUGGGCCCGAUCUUGAGGAAAUGAAAACAUGAUUAAAUUUUAAUAACCUUACCCUAAUUACGAUGGAUUUUACCGGGAAGUAAAAUUUAAUAAUUUUUGGUUGACGAUUGUAAAUCAUUUUCGUUUUCUAUCCAACCCCCCGCGGUGACUGCAUAAUUGAACGAACAAAUCUCACUUAAUUUAACUUAAAUAAUUAACCUUUUCAGUUACCUCCUUGUAGAGACAACGAAUUCUUGGCCUUCGUUUCAUCAUAUCCCCGCGACGAUUCUCAAUUUAUAAUUCAUCGUGACGGAAUACACGUUUUCAACACAUUCGUUGAUCUAUAUUUGACCCGAUUGUUGAUGUGUUUACCUAGAUCUUUUAUAUAGCCUGUGAUCCGUUAAAAAAAAUCUAUAAAAAUAAGUUUUAUUAGAACAAAAUCCGAUCCACUAGCCGUCCGAACGCCGUCGACGUACGUCCGCGUAAAUUGAAAGCAGAAUCCGAAGAUUGGCAGAUUUCGGAAAUCAGAAGCACGGUAUAACAUGAUAUCGCCGUAAGGGACGAUUAUCUUAGGCACGUCGUUGCAACGACUGGUGGGGGUACGUUCACGUGUACGGUAGAUAGAUACCCCGAAAAUGGGUCAAUGCAGACCUAUUCGGGUAUAGACGGGAAGGGAGCUCCGCUGUACCUCGCGGGGAUUGUCUCUAUAAUCGUAAAAACUGGAUACCGAACGUGGAAGUGCAACGUCUACUUCCGUCAUUAUCCAAUAUUUCAACGCUUUCCACAAAGAAGGAAAGAGAGGAAAGGUUAUCAAGACCCCUCCGAAUCAUCAUCUUUCAAAUAUUCUUGGUCGUUUAUCAUCAGCUAAACUAAAACAUCACCCUAAUAACCGUCCGAAGUUCGCGAGGUUCUCCUCAUCCCAAAAUCUUCGAUAUCAGAUCGCUAAAUCAGCCCGCACACAAUCAGCCGCUAAUGUAUUACGUCCGAAAAUUGAAUACAUUCUUCGAACGACCUACGACCAGAACGCAACGGUGUUAGCUUUUCCACGUUUCCGAUAGCAAUAACUGACAAAAAAAAAAAACUGAACGAACUAUAAGAGCUUGAAAUCCAUCUCACGGAUUAUAUUCUCAAAUAAUCUUUCGUAAUACUUCAAACAAGUCAAAAUUCCUUCGCGAAAAGCACAAGUUUUCACAAGGGCAAGGUGUUACCUAGUUACCGAAUACCAAUCACAGUCGAUAAACUCUGCACAUUCGUCUAAAUCAUUAAAAUUCUUUCAAAGAACGUUUUUCGAGUCUCCUGAUCUUCGGGAAGCACGUGGAAGAAAAUGAUCGAAAACCAUUGACGACGACGGUGAUAAGAAAAGGGGGAGUUUAAAAGGAGCGGACCUUCCAUACGCGGUGCAAACUACCGGGACGCAAUAAAAUAUUAAAAGAUAGGGUCCUCGUUCCGGACGGUCCUGCAUUCUGAAGCUGGUCCCAACACAGGUCCAAGAUAUUACGCCUGACUAUUUUGCACGUCCACGGUGCACCUUAUACGACCGUUUCUUGGAGUGGAUCAAAUUGAUAAUGCGCAUCGUUUAAUAGAGAAAUUUCACGACGUGUUAUCGUUCAAGAAUUUACUGAAAUUAAAUAUAACGUGAAUCUGAUGUGUAUCGAAUUUUCGAUCGGUGGAAAUAAAUUCCGGGAAUAUCUUCUCUCCGCAUUAUUAAUUACC